rnacentral:lncRNA from 1 species
UACAAAUAAACCUAGCUUCAAUUUUAUUAUAAUCAUAAAUUACCACUCAACUUUAAAAUUAAUUUAAAAUUAAAAUUUAUCCUUUUGAAAUAUUACAUAUGUUUCACAUUCAAGUGCACCAUUACACGAUCUUUCAAAUGAUUUGUUCAACCAAAAAAAAUAAAAAAAUAAAAAUCGUAAAGUUGAAACACCAUGCGAUUAGAAUAUUCAUAAUGGGCUUUUUCUUAUGUUCCAUAUCCUACCUUGCAGCAGCAGCAGCAGCCAUAUUUGACUAAUUAUACGGCAUAGGACAUCUGGACAUGAAUGUUGAAUUUAAUCUAUACUAAUAGAAAAAGAACUCAAGGCAUCUUAAGGCACAACUUGUGGAUUACUUAUUUCAGUUGGUCUUGGGUGCGACCGUUGCACACUAUGCGACAGGUCCGCCCCUAACCCAAGACCCGAAAUCAUGAAUCCUAAAUUAUUACAUUUGUUUAUAAUAAUUGUUAUUUGUAAUAAGCAUGAGAUAUACAUUUAUUCGCUCAAAUGUAUACUUAUAUAAAUAUAAAUAUUUACCUUCAUUUAAUAUAAAGUAUUAUAUUUUCUAAACCGUAAUAGGAGUAUUUACUUUUAAUAAGCAUAAGAUAUACAUUUGGUCGUACAAAAUGUAUACUUAUAUUAAUAUAAAAUAUUUAUCUUCAUUCAAUAUAAAGCAUUACAUAUCAAUAAUAUUUUUUCUUACGAUAAUAAUUAUUUGAUCAAAUAAUAAAGUAAUUAUUUAUGCUUAUUAAAAGUAAUCAUUGUUAUAGUAAAAACUAAUAUUUGAUAUGAAAUAUAAUGUUUCAAAAAUAUUAUAUUAAUUGAAAUUAUUGUUGUAAUAAAAAGUCAUUAUUGCUAUAAUAAAAAGGAGUAAUUAUUAUUAUUAUAAAGAAAGAUAAAUUUUUUUAAACAUUACAUUUUUCACAAUAUUGAUAUUAACUACUUAUAUUAACAUAAAUAUACAUUUAUACGAACAAAUGUAUAUAUUAUACUUAUUAAAAGUAACAGUUAUUAUAAACAAAUGUAAUACUCCAUCCGUCCACGAAAUGAGUACCCAUAUUUCCUUUUUCGUCCGUCCACGAAAUGAGUACCUAUUUCCCUUUUUGGCAAGUGUACCCCACACAUCUCUUUAAUUAAUACACUCAAAAAGUGAGACCCUUAAACUAUUUACACUACACUCCAUACAUUUCUUAAAACUCGUGCCGUCCACAAAUGGGUACUCAUUUCGUGGACGGAAGGAAUAAUUGAGAGUGCAGGUCAAAUUCACGCGGAUCAGAAGGCGGGUCAACCCGUCGCACACUAGUGCGACCGCCGCACCCAAUAAAUUGCGCAAAAUAAAAAGAAAACGAAGAUUUAUGUUUAGAAGAAUGAUUUUAAUUAAAUUUAUGUAGAAACAGAUCCAUUUUGAAAACUAUCUUAAUUACCACCCAAAUAUCAUUUUUUUAUGUAUUAAUUACCUUUAUUAAAUAAUAACUUUUGAAUAAUUCAUUGCUAACUAUUUCAACAGGUCGACCAAAAAUGGUUAAACUUUCAAAAUGAAGGAAACCAAUUGAUCUCUUGCAAAUAUAUUCAAGUCAAAGCGACGUCAAAUUACAUGAAUGUCAAAUUCAAUUUGGAUUCUUCCUUCCUCACCAUGUUGGUUUAUCAAGUCUUUUUCACUUCAUACGAUGACAAACAAUUAGGUCGGCUCGAAUUUCAAAGCCGAGGUAAAAGUUAUCCAACAAUCAUNAUGCUUAAGAUUAAACUAGCAUUAGAGCCGUAAAAUAUUUUGUUUAUAUAUAUAAUUGGUACUGACUCAAUUAUCAUAUUUAUAAAUAUAAUAAAAAAUAGAAUUUUAGUUGGAUAAGAAAAAGGAGAAUUUACAGUACUAAAAAUUAGAUAAUUAUAAGAAGAAAAAAUACUAAGUUAAAGAAAAAAGAUAAAAAUAAAAAUAGAAAUAAAAAGAGUUGAAAAUAUAUCAUUCAUAAAAAGAUGAGAUAGGAGAGAGAAUUUGGUUAACUUUUAAUCAUUAAAUAAAUAUAAUUCUUACAUUUUAAAAUCUAAUAUUUAAAUAAAAUAUAUCAAAUAAAAGCUCUUGUGGUGAUCUUUAAAUGCGUAUUAAAUAUUUUAUAAUUAGCUAAAUUUUCACAAUUUUAAAAAAUAAAUAAGACUAAAACAUAAAAAGAUAAAGAAAAAAGAAAAAAAGAAAAGAAAAGAAAUAUAGUGUACAAAUAAACCUAGCUUCAAUUUUAUUAUAAUCAUAAAUUACCACUCAACUUUAAAAUUAAUUUAAAAUUAAAAUUUAUCCUUUUGAAAUAUUACAUAUGUUUCACAUUCAAGUGCACCAUUACACGAUCUUUCAAAUGAUUUGUUCAACCAAAAAAAAUAAAAAAAAUAAAAAUCGUAAAGUUGAAUUGAAACACCAUGCGAUUAGAAUAUUCAUGAUUGGCUUUUUCUUAUGUUCCAUAUCCUACCUAGCAGCAGCAGCCAUAUUUGACUAAUUAUACGGCAUAGGACAUGUGGACAUGAAUGUUGAAUUUAAUCUAUACUAAGGCACAACUUGUGAAUUACUUAUUUCAGUUGGUCUUGGGUGCGACCGUCGCACACUAUGCGACAGGUCCGCCCCUAACCCACGCCCCAGACCCGAAACCAUGAAUCCUAAAUUAUUACAUUUGUUUAUAAUAAUUGUUACUUGUAAUAAGCAUGAGAUAUACAUUUAUUCGCUCAAAUGUAUACUUAUAUAAAUAUAAAUAGUUACCUUCAUUUAAUAUAAAGUAUUAUAUUUUCUAAACCGUAAUAGGAGUAUUUACUUUUAAUAAGCAUAAGAUAUGCAUUUGGUCGCACAAAUGUAUACUUAUAUUAAUAUAAAUAUUUACCUUCAUUCAAUAUAAAGCAUUAUACAUAUCAAUAAUUAUUUUUUCUUACGAUAAUAAUUAUUUGAUUAAAUAAUAAAGUAAUUAUUUAUGCUUAUUAAAAGUAAUCAUUGUUAUAGUAAAAACUAAUAUUUGAUAUGAAAUAUAAUGUUUCAAAAAUAUUAUAUU